UCUGUAAAGUUCCUUCGACGAGUCGAGUAGUUUGGGAAUGCUGCUCUAAAUGGGAGGUAUAUGUCUUCUAAAGCUAAAUACCGGCCAGAGACCGAUAGCGCACAAGUAGAGUGAUCGAAAGAUGAAAAGCACUUUGAAAAGAGAGUUAAAAAGUACGUGAAAUUGUUGAAAGGGAAGCGUUUAUGACCAGACUUGGGCUUGGUUAAUCAUCUGGGGUUCUCCCCAGUGCACUUUUCCAGUCCAGGCCAGCAUCAGUUUUCCCCGGGGGAUAAAGACUUCGGGAAUGUGGCUCUCUUCGGGGAGUGUUAUAGCCCGUUGUGUAAUACCCUGGGGGGGACUGAGGUUCGCGCAUCUGCAAGGAUGCUGGCGUAAUGGUCAUCAACGACCCGUCUUGAAACACGGACCAAGGAGUCGUCUUCGUAUGCGAGUGUUCGGGUGUCAAACCCCUACGCGUAAUGAAAGUGAACGCAGGUGAGAGCUUCGGCGCAUCAUCGACCGAUCCUGAUGUUCUCGGAUGGAUUUGAGUAAGAGCAUACGGGGCCGGACCCGAAAGAAGGUGAACUAUGCCUGUAUAGGGUGAAGCCAGAGGAAACUCUGGUGGAGGCUCGCAGCGGUUCUGACGUGCAAAU
rnacentral:rRNA from 8 species